rnacentral:rRNA from 1 species
GAGGAACCGGCCAUGGCUCAUUAAAUCAGUUAUGGUUCCUUGGAUCGUACUUUGUUACUUGGAUAACUGUGGCAAUUCUAGAGCUAAUACAUGCAGCAGAGCUCCGACCUUCGGGAACGAGCGCUUUUAUUAGACCAAAAUCAAUCGGGCCUUGUGUCCGUUGAACGUGGUGACUCUGUAUAACUUUGGGCUGAUCGCACGGGCUUGUCCCGGCGACGUAUCCUUCAAGUGUCUGCCUUAUCAACUGUCGAUGGUAGGUUAUGCGCCUACCAUGGUCGUAACGGGUGACGGGGAAUCAGGGUUCGAUUCCGGAGAGGGAGCCUGAGAAACGGCUACCACAUCCAAGGAAGGCAGCAGGCGCGCAAAUUACCCACUCCCGGAACGGGGAGGUAGUGACGAAAAAUAACAAUACGGGACUCUUUUGAGACCCCGUAAUUGGAAUGAGAACACUCUAAAUCCUUUAACGAUUAUCAAUUGGAGGGCAAGCCAAGUGCCAGCAGCCGCGGUAACACUUGCUCCAAUAGCGUAUAUUAAAGUUGUUGCGGUUAAAAAGCUCGUAGUUGGAUCUCAGUUCUAGUCUAGCGGUCUGCCUACCGGCAGUCACUGCUGGUUCUGAACAAGCCAGUCGGUUUCCCUUGAUGAUCUUCACCGGUUGUCUCGGGUGACCGACAAGUUUACUUUGAAUAAAUUAGAGUGCUCAAAGCAGGCGCGACGCCUGAACAAUGGUGCAUGGAAUAAUGGAAUAGGACCUCGGUUCUAUUUUGUUGGUUUUCGGAACACGAGGUAAUGAUUAAGAGGGACAGACGGGGGCAUUCGUAUUGCGACGCUAGAGGUGAAAUUCUUGGACCGUCGCAAGACGAACUACUGCGAAAGCAUUUGCCAAGAAUGCUUCCAUUAAUCAAGAACGAAAGUUAGAGGUUCGAAGGCGAUCAGAUACCGCCCUAGUUCUAACCAUAAACGAUGCUAGCCAGCGAUCCGGCUGCGUUCCUCAAAUGACGCGCCGGGCAGCUUCCGGGAAACCAUAGUAUU